UACAGAGGGUGCGAGCGUUAAUCGGAAUUACUGGGCGUAAAGCGCACGUAGGUGGCGUCGUAAGUCGGGUGUGAAAGCCCCGGGCUCAACCUGGGAAUUGCAUUCGAGACUGUGUCGCUGGAGUACGGAAGAGGAAGGCGGAAUUCCCGGUGUAGCGGUGAAAUGCGUAGAUAUCGGGAGGAACAUCAGUGGCGAAGGCGGCCUUCUGGUCCAGUACUGACACUCAAGUGCGAAAGCGUGGGGAGCAAACAGG
rnacentral:rRNA from 1 species